rnacentral:rRNA from 1 species
AGCUUGCUCUGUGGGAUCAGUGGCGAACGGGUGAGUAACACGUGAGCAACCUGCCCCUGACUCUGGGAUAAGCGCUGGAAACGGCGUCUAAUACUGGAUAUGUGACGUGACCGCAUGGUCUGCGUCUGGAAAGAAUUUCGGUUGGGGAUGGGCUCGCGGCCUAUCAGCUUGUUGGUGAGGUAAUGGCUCACCAAGGCGUCGACGGGUAGCCGGCCUGAGAGGGUGACCGGCCACACUGGGACUGAGACACGGCCCAGACUCCUACGGGAGGCAGCAGUGGGGAAUAUUGCACAAUGGGCGCAAGCCUGAUGCAGCAACGCCGCGUGAGGGACGACGGCCUUCGGGUUGUAAACCUCUUUUAGCAGGGAAGAAGCGAAAGUGACGGUACCUGCAGAAAAAGCGCCGGCUAACUACGUGCCAGCAGCCGCGGUAAUACGUAGGGCGCAAGCGUUAUCCGGAAUUAUUGGGCGUAAAGAGCUCGUAGGCGGUUUGUCGCGUCUGCUGUGAAAUCCGGAGGCUCAACCUCCGGCCUGCAGUGGGUACGGGCAGACUAGAGUGCGGUAGGGGAGAUUGGAAUUCCUGGUGUAGCGGUGGAAUGCGCAGAUAUCAGGAGGAACACCGAUGGCGAAGGCAGAUCUCUGGGCCGUAACUGACGCUGAGGAGCGAAAGGGUGGGGAGCAAACAGGCUUAGAUACCCUG